rnacentral:rRNA from 1 species
UGGGGAAUAUUGGACAAUGGGCGCAAGCCUGAUCCAGCCAUACCGCGUGGGUGAAGAAGGCCUUCGGGUUGUAAAGCCCUUUUGUUGGGAAAGAAAAGCAUUCGGUUAAAUACCCGAUUGUUCUGACGGUACCCAAAGAAUAAGCACCGGCUAACUUCGUGCCAGCAGCCGCGGUAAUACGAAGGGUGCAAGCGUUACUCGGAAUUACUGGGCGUAAAGCGUGCGUAGGUGGUUGUUUAAGUCUGUCGUGAAAGCCCUGGGCUCAACCUGGGAAUUGCGAUGGAAACUGGGCGACUAGAGUGUGGCAGAGGGUAGUGGAAUUCCUGGUGUAGCAGUGAAAUGCGUAGAGAUCAGGAGGAACAUCCGUGGCGAAGGCGACUGCCUGGGCCAACACUGACACUGAGGCACGAAAGCGUGGGGAGCAAACAGGAUUAGAUACCCUGGUAGUCCACGCCCUAAACGAUGCGAACUGAUGUUGGGUGCAAUUUUGGCACGCAGUAUCGAAGCUAACGCGUUAAGUUCGCCGCCUGGGGAGUACGGUCGCAAGACUGAAACUUAAA